UGGGGAAUUUUGCACAAUGGGCGCAAGCCUGAUGCAGCAACGCCGCGUGAACGAUGAAGGUCUUCGGAUCGUAAAGUUCUGUUGCAGGGGAAGAUAAUGACGGUACCCUGUGAGGAAGCCCCGGCUAACUACGUGCCAGCAGCCGCGGUAAUACGUAGGGGGCUAGCGUUAUCCGGAUUUACUGGGCGUAAAGGGUGCGUAGGUGGUCCUUCAAGUCGGUGGUUAAAGGCUACGGCUCAACCGUAGUAAGCCGCCGAAACUGGAGGACUUGAGUGCAGGAGAGGAAAGUGGAAUUCCCAGUGUAGCGGUGAAAUGCGUAGAUAUUGGGAGGAACACCAGUAGCGAAGGCGGCUUUCUGGACUGCAACUGACACUGAGGCACGAAAGCGUGGGUAGCAAACAGG
rnacentral:rRNA from 1 species